ensembl:snRNA U6 U6 spliceosomal RNA
GCAUUCACUUCGGCAACACAUAUACUAAAACUGGAGCAACACAGAAAAGAUUAGCAAGGCCCUGUGCGAGGGUGACACACAAAGUCGUGAAAUAUUCCAUAUUUCA